rnacentral:rRNA from 1 species
UGGGGGCGGCUUACACAUGCAGUCGAACGAUGAUGCCAGCUUGCUGGUGGAUUAGUGGCGAACGGGUGAGUAACACGUGAGUAACCUGCCCUUAACUCUGGGAUAAGCCUGGGAAACUGGGUCUAAUACCGGAUAUGACUCCUCAUCGCAUGGUGGGGGGUGGAAAGCUUUAUUGUGGUUUUGGAUGGACUCGCGGCCUAUCAGCUUGUUGGUGAGGUAAUGGCUCACCAAGGCGACGACGGGUAGCCGGCCUGAGAGGGUGACCGGCCACACUGGGACUGAGACACGGCCCAGACUCCUACGGGAGGCAGCAGUGGGGAAUAUUGCACAAUGGGCGAAAGCCUGAUGCAGCGACGCCGCGUGAGGGAUGACGGCCUUCGGGUUGUAAACCUCUUUCAGUAGGGAAGAAGCGAAAGUGACGGUACCUGCAGAAGAAGCGCCGGCUAACUACGUGCCAGCAGCCGCGGUAAUACGUAGGGCGCAAGCGUUAUCCGGAAUUAUUGGGCGUAAAGAGCUCGUAGGCGGUUUGUCGCGUCUGCCGUGAAAGUCCGGGGCUCAACUCCGGAUCUGCGGUGGGUACGGGCAGACUAGAGUGAUGUAGGGGAGACUGGAAUUCCUGGUGUAGCGGUGAAAUGCGCAGAUAUCAGGAGGAACACCGAUGGCGAAGGCAGGUCUCUGGGCAUUAACUGACGCUGAGGAGCGAAAGCAUGGGGAGCGAACAGGAUUAGAUACCCUGGUAGUCCAUGCCGUAAACGUUGGGCACUAGGUGUGGGGGACAUUCCACGUUUUCCGCGCCGUAGCUAACGCAUUAAGUGCCCCGCCUGGGGAGUACGGCCGCAAGGCUAAAACUCAAAGGAAUUGACGGGGGCCCGCACAAGCGGCGGAGCAUGCGGAUUAAUUCGAUGCAACGCGAAGAACCUUACCAAGGCUUGACAUGAACCGGAAAUACCUGGAAACAGGUGCCCCGCUUGCGGUCGGUUUACAGGUGGUGCAUGGUUGUCGUCAGCUCGUGUCGUGAGAUGUUGGGUUAAGUCCCGCAACGAGCGCAACCCUCGUUCUAUGUUGCCAGCGCGUUAUGGCGGGGACUCAUAGGAGACUGCCGGGGUCAACUCGGAGGAAGGUGGGGACGACGUCAAAUCAUCAUGCCCCUUAUGUCUUGGGCUUCACGCAUGCUACAAUGGCCGGUACAAAGGGUUGCGAUACUGUGAGGUGGAGCUAAUCCCAAAAAGCCGGUCUCAGUUCGGAUUGGGGUCUGCAACUCGACCCCAUGAAGUCGGAGUCGCUAGUAAUCGCAGAUCAGCAACGCUGCGGUGAAUACGUUCCCGGGCCUUGUACACACCGCCCGUCAAGUCACGAAAG